CUCUCUUCCGCCGUGGCCGUUGCCGCUGCCGCCGCUGCUUGCAUCGCACAAUCUCUCUGUCAUCCCUUGCGUCCUACGAGAUCUCCCCGCCGCCGCUCUCGUCGCAGAGCUCUCUCUGCCGACGCUCUCAUCGCAUCUGCUCCCUCUGGCACCUCUUCCAUCUAAUCUCAACUCGCUCUCUCAGUUCUUCUUGUAACCAUCUCAAAUUUCAGUGUUACAGCUCAAGAUCUUGUUGACACUAUGCUUCUAAAUUUGCUUCUAAAUUUUUGAUAUCUUCACUCUUAACGAUGGAUCUGUAACGCCUCUACUCAAGAGCAUGACAGUGCAUAAUAUGUAUGUUGGAGAGGGUUCAGACUUCAAAUAUAAUAUAUAAAAGGGUGGCUGAGCAGUGGGGUUCUCUUGGUGACUUGACUACGUCUGUUACAUUGAUUCAAUUCGAUUGAUACAGAAGGAAUACUCAGGAUCUGCUAGAACUGGCGAUGGAUCUGUUAGACGAGAUCAAGUUGGUGGGGUCAAAAUACUCAUUAUUUUAUUGGUGUUCAACUUGAUGGUAGCCAACAAUUGGAGCCUCUUCACAACUGCAUUGCAGAUGAUACUGCCAAAGAGGGACAAUUAUUGGUAAAACAAACUGCUAAAAAUGUUGAUGAUGCUGUUAGAGAACUUCUAGAUGCUAAUAUA